CGAACGCUGGCGGCGUGCCUAAUACAUGCAAGUAGAACGCUGAAGAGAGGAGCUUGCUCUUCUUGGAUGAGUUGCGAACGGGUGAGUAACGCGUAGGUAACCCGCCUUGUAGCGGGGGAUAACUAUUGGAAACGAUAGCUAAUACCGCAUAACAAUAGGUGACACAUGUCAUUUAUUUGAAAGGGGCAAUUGCUCCACUACAAGAUGGACCUGCGUUGUAUUAGCUAGUAGGUGAGGUAACGGCUCACCUAGGCGACGAUACAUAGCCGACCUGAGAGGGUGAUCGGCCACACUGGGACUGAGACACGGCCCAGACUCCUACGGGAGGCAGCAGUAGGGAAUCUUCGGCAAUGGGGGCAACCCUGACCGAGCAACGCCGCGUGAGUGAAGAAGGUUUUCGGAUCGUAAAGCUCUGUUGUAAGUCAAGAACGAGUGUGAGAGUGGAAAGUUCACACUGUGACGGUAGCUUACCAGAAAGGGACGGCUAACUACGUGCCAGCAGCCGCGGUAAUACGUAGGUCCCGAGCGUUGUCCGGAUUUAUUGGGCGUAAAGCGAGCGCAGGCGGUUUGAUAAGUCUGAAGUUAAAGGCUGUGGCUCAACCAUAGUUCGCUUUGGAAACUGUCAAACUUGAGUGCAGAAGGGGAGAGUGGAAUUCCAUGUGUAGCGGUGAAAUGCGUAGAUAUAUGGAGGAACACCGGUGGCGAAAGCGGCUCUCUGGUCUGUAACUGACGCUGAGGCUCGAAAGCGUGGGGAGCGAACAGGAUUAGAUACCCCUGGUAGUCCACGCCGUAAACGAUGAGUGCUAGGUGUUGGAUCCUUUCCGGGAUUCAGUGCCGCAGCUAACGCAUUAAGCACUCCGCCUGGGGAGUACGACCGCAAGGUUGAAACUCAAAGGAAUUGACGGGGGCCCGCACAAGCGGUGGAGCAUGUGGUUUAAUUCGAAGCAACGCGAAGAACCUUACCAGGUCUUGACAUCCCGAUGCUAUUUCUAGAGAUAGAAAGUUACUUCGGUACAUCGGUGACAGGUGGUGCAUGGUUGUCGUCAGCUCGUGUCGUGAGAUGUUGGGUUAAGUCCCGCAACGAGCGCAACCCCUAUUGUUAGUUGCCAUCAUUCAGUUGGGCACUCUAGCGAGACUGCCGGUAAUAAACCGGAGGAAGGUGGGGAUGACGUCAAAUCAUCAUGCCCCUUAUGACCUGGGCUACACACGUGCUACAAUGGUUGGUACAACGAGUUGCGAGUCGGUGACGGCAAGCUAAUCUCUUAAAGCCAAUCUCAGUUCGGAUUGUAGGCUGCAACUCGCCUACAUGAAGUCGGAAUCGCUAGUAAUCGCGGAUCAGCACGCCGCGGUGAAUACGUUCCCGGGCCUUGUACACACCGCCCGUCACACCACGAGAGUUUGUAACACCCGAAGUCGGUGAGGUAACCUUUUGGAGCCAGCCGCCUAAGGUGGGAUAGAUGAUUGGGGUGA
rnacentral:rRNA from 1 species